rnacentral:tRNA from 1 species
GCGGGUGUGGUGGAAUUGGUAGACACGCCAGAUUUAGGUUCUGGUGCUCAUUGAGCGUGGAGGUUCAAGUCCUCUCACCCGCACCA